CAGUAGCCGCGGUAAUACGAAGGGGGCUAGCGUUGUUCGGAAUUACUGGGCGUAAAGCGCACGUAGGCGGAUAUUUAAGUCAGGGGUGAAAUCCCGCAGCUCAACUGCGGAACUGCCUUUGAUACUGGGUAUCUUGAGUAUGGAAGAGGUUAGUGGAAUUGCGAGUGUAGAGGUGAAAUUCGUAGAUAUUCGCAGGAACACCAGUGGCGAAGGCGGCUAACUGGUCCAUAACUGACGCUGAGGCGCGAAAGCGUGGGGAGCAAACAGGAUUAGAUACCCCCGUAGUCCCUGUCUCUUAUAC
rnacentral:rRNA from 1 species